CUUGAGAGUGGCGAACGGGUGAGUAAUAUAUCGGAACGUGCCCAAUCGUGGGGGAUAACGUAGAGAAAUUUACGCUAAUACCGCAUACGAUCUAAGGAUGAAAGCGGGGGAUUCGCAAGAACCUCGCGCGAUUGGAGCGGCUGAUAUCAGAUUAGCUUGUUGGUGAGGUAAAAGCUCACCAAGGCGACGAUCUGUAGCUGGUUUGAGAGAACGACCAGCCACACUGGGACUGAGACACGGCCCAGACUCCUACGGGAGGCAGCAGUGGGGAAUUUUGGACAAUGGGCGAAAGCCUGAUCCAGCAAUGCCGCGUGUGGGAAGAAGGCCUUCGGGUUGUAAACCACUUUUGUACGGAACGAAACGGUCUGCUUUAAUACAGUGGGCUAAUGACGGUACCGUAAGAAUAAGCACCGGCUAACUACGUGCCAGCAGCCGCGGUAAUACGUAGGGUGCGAGCGUUAAUCGGAAUUACUGGGCGUAAAGCGUGCGCAGGCGGUUAUAUAAGACAGUUGUGAAAUCCCCGGGCUCAACCUGGGAAUUGCAUCUGUGACUGUAUAGCUAGAGUACGGUAGAGGGGGAUGGAAUUCCGCGUGUAGCAGUGAAAUGCGUAGAUAUGCGGAGGAACACCGAUGGCGAAGGCAAUCCCCUGGACCUG
rnacentral:rRNA from 1 species